GAUUCUCCUCGUCCGUGUAGAAGUGUUCCCUCCGCAGCAUCGACCACUACGCAGUAGCGUACUCUCCCCACGUUUUGCACAACAGCAGAACGCUCACCGCAGUCCGAACUCCACCCCCCCCCCCUGCCGCCGCCGCUCCGUUGAUAAGUCAGCAGCGCUCUUUUCUUUUCUCUCACUACCCCCUUUCUGUGCCUUCUUCGCCUCGCAGCCUAUUUGCGCUUUCUUUUCUCACACCCGUCUUUGUUAAUAUCGCACACAUCGCACCUGCCUCCACUCCGUUGUUUGGUGGUGGUGGUGGUGGUCUUCGUCACCUGCCUGUUAUUCCCUCCAGUGUGCACAACGUGCUUUGUCACGAGAGACUUCGCCAUCUUUCUUGCAGGUGCCUCUCUCUCCUUCGCGCACCCACGCCCUGGCCGCCUUCGCUUCCAUCAAGGCGAGCCGAGUAUUGAAAUUCGCAAUACCAAAAUAACGUAAAAAGGAUAUCGAGGCAAAUGGCACUCAUCCUCUCUCCCGCCCCAUCGUCACAGCGCAGUGGCACCAACUACGCGCGCACUGUGCUGCUGGUUCUGGCGAGCCUUGCUCUUGUCGCCCUCCUGUUUGGCGGUGGAAGCGAAGGCAGCAACUACGGCAACUUCAUCAGCAUGGUUGGUCACCCGCGGCGGAGUGGUAUGGUGCUCCCUGCCAUGGCAACUGCGGUGCCAAGCGAGGCACCAAGUGCUGAUGGACAGCACGCUGGCGACGUUGUCGACGCUGCUGAGCCCGCCGAGUGUGCUAUGCCCGAAGCUGGUGAGGCGCACCCGAUGAAUGAGCAGUACGACUAUAAGGACGAGGAGGAAGCAGAUGCGGUGGUGGCGGCGACGGCAACCGGUGCAGACGCCUCAGCCAAGUCGCCGACCGCUCACCUUGACGGGCUGAGCGUCGAGGAACUGACGGCGUUGUUGGUAGAGAAGAAAAAGGGAUGGGUGAACCUGAAUCGCUUUAAGGACCGCGAGGCGCUCGUCCAAGCCAUCUUUGGUAUGGAGCAGAAGGAGGCGGCGCAGAUCGCGUUCCGCGCAGAGGUCGCCGCUGCCGCACGCUGGUAUGCGGAGCACCAAUCGCAGUUCAAAGCAGCUCAUCACCGGCCCAAGGGUAGCCGCACUCGCGGCGACAGCGCCGAACCGGCAGCCGCUGGCGGCUCCGACAUCGACGAGGCACAGCACGAGGUGCUCGUCCUCUACAACCAAGCCAACGGUUACGAUUCGAAGUUUGAGGUGCUUCGCAAGGAGCUGCAAGAAUCGGAAGCAGUGAGUCUGCCGAACCUGGCUGACUUUAAAAUCAUUGGGCAGGCGUACCCGAUGAGUCCCAGGCGAGUCCUGAUCAGCAAGGCGUUACAGGGGGCUUUCUUCGGCACGCUAGGGCUUGCCCUUAUGGGGGAUCAGCUGAAGUUCAUCCCGGAGUCGGUGCUCGCUGUUCUGCGCGCACGUCGUGGCCUCAUCACCAGCACCGGCUUCAUGCUCAACGUGCUGAGUCGAGCGGCGCUGCAGAACAAUGCCUUCGAGGUGUUUUUGGACGGCGAACUCAUCUACUCCGCCCUGAACGCGAGUGGGCGAGUGCCGACAGCAGAGCUGUUGAGCAACCUCCUCCUCGAGCGAACGCUCUUGAAGGACUACUACGCAGCUAAGAAGACAGCGAGAGCGUAGGUGCUCGUCGACGCGGAGCCAGCGGAAACGGCGGCGGGGACGAACUCGCCCACCCCACAGGCACAAAAAGAAGUCAAGAGCGUUGAAAGCGCUCGAGCGAAGCGAGAAAGUACAGAAUGGCGAAGGCGUCAGAGCAGCAAUGAAAAGGUGUUGGACGAGAAAAGAGAUGCGGGGGUAUCGGACAAGGCAUUGCGGGCUCUCCACUCGGUCGCAUUCCUUAUGCCUCUGCGGCCCCUCUGCCUGAGCAUCGGGGCGCACGCCUCUCCACGCUCGCGCACAUUGCUCUCACGGCUCCAGCGACACUUGUCGCUUGCUCUCUUCUCACCUUCCCUCCUUCCCACACCAUGCCCGCUCCCACUCAUUUAACCAUCUGCAUCGCCUCGUUGCUUGACCUCUUAUCUACGACACUCCUGUGCAC
rnacentral:misc_RNA from 1 species